rnacentral:rRNA from 1 species
GAUUGAACUUAAGAGUUUGAUCCUGGCUCAGAUUGAACGCUGGCGGCAUGCCUAACACAUGCAAGUCGAACGGUAACAGGUCUUCGG